AGCCAAUUUAACACUUUCUCACAGGAAAGCAUUGGAAGACUAUUGCGCAAAACGCUGCACUGUUCAUAUCAGCAUCUGUUCAUAGAAAUGCAUUGAACCAAUGCAUCUCUACAUGGAACAUUUAACUUCUCCAUGUAGGGUGUGGAGAUGCUGAAUGCCAAUGCUACACACUGUGCAGCACUGACACAGGAAGCAUCUCUAGUGGCCAUCUGGGUAGCUGCCACUAGAGGUGUUCUUAGGCAACAAUAUAAAGACAGUGUUUACAUAUAAAAGCCUGAAAAGGCAGUGUGUACAUUCAAAAGCCUGCAG